rnacentral:lncRNA from 1 species
CUCAGGACUCCAGUAGACUUAUUGCUUCAACACAACACUGUUGCAUGACCUUUAAGGGUGGAGAAAGUCAUAGAAAAGAAAUCACAUUCACUGGGCAGUUGAGCACACACGGCGAGGCUCAAAGGAUAUGUCUGCUGAGCUCAAGCAGCGAGCAGCUUGGAGAGCCAAGGCCAUGAUGAGAUGGCAUUUCAGUGAAUGGACUCCCCAGAAACUCCGAAAAGAGAAAAGCAAAAUCGUGUGUUAAAUGGGCGGUUCAAAUGGUGACCUAAUGUUCUUCAACUGGAGUAGUUGACCAUAUCAAGAAUAAACGCUGCACCAGCUAAGCACGCAGUGGAAUCCAUCUGGGGCAUCUAGAGUCAGCGCUAUAAUGAUUCACAGCUCUAAUUUUUCUCUCCUGACCUAAAGGACGUGCUCAUGUACUGCUUGAUGUGGUUUUCCGAAGAGCACCUUUAGAUUCUUCAUAUACCUACAGUGGCAGUUGACUUGGUUGGUUUCUGUAGGUAGUCCAUUUAUUCAAUUAAAAGAGACUAUUAUUGAGUCAAAGGCUUGUCUAAUUAGCUGGCAUAAUAUAUCAAACGCACGUAAUUUUGUCGUUCUCAACGCCAAGGCACUUUUUUAAGGUCACUGCCAAGGUGUAUGCAAUUAGCGGCUUGUCUCCCUGAAGGAAUAGUCUGGUCAGACUAAAUUGUUCUGUAAUGGGAGAAGUAAUUUGGCAUCAACUGCUGUGUAGUUAUAAUAAACAGCCACGCUAUCCUCCAUUUUUUGCUACCUAAGUUGUUUUCUCUCUCUCCCUCUCUCGUCUUCUUCCUUCUUUUUCGUUCUGAAACCAGUUCUUUGAUUCAAAGAAAUUUGUCUUUUUACCUCAUUUAUUUUAGUUACAUAUUUGAAACACCAAUCAACACUCUGUCUUCAAGUGUUUUUAAAAUAAGAAUUAUUUAGAUUGUAGCUUCAUGUUUAUUUUUCAACCAUGAGAGUUCUUAGAUAUAUACAAGCUGGUUUCUGGAGAAAUCUCAUUUAAAUCCAAAAUU